rnacentral:lncRNA from 1 species
GGCAGCCUUCUUCUUCCUCUCUCUUUAACCCAGCUGAACCAUUUCUUCUUCAUUUUCUUCGUUCUCUUAACGGCACUAUUUCUGCUUGAAUUUUUUUAUUGACAAAUUAAACCAUUUGCGGAAGAUGAAAUACAGAAAUAAUCAGGAAGUAAUUGAUAUUGUAAUGAUGGUACAUAGCAACAGCCAACAGCCAACAAACUGCAUCAAAAGCUCAGAACACUUGAAACUGACAAUCAGAACUCGCAUUAAAACAAAGAUCUUUAACACUUCGAAGCUACAAAACAUUAGAUUUUGAAACUUAAAUUCAUAAACACUUUUCAUUAUUUGCCGCCACCACCACCAUUUCCACUGCCGGAACCGGUUCCUACACCUUUGCCCGAACCACCUCCCACACCAAUGCUUAUCCUAAUUCCAAUACCAACUCCUCCUCCAUGGCCACCACGGCUGCCGAGACCUCCACCAGAACCACCGCCUACACCGCCCGCAGCACCAAAGCCACCGCCGUGACCUGACCCAGCACCAAAGCCACCGCCAUGACCUGACCCACCUCCUAUCCCACCACCACCACCUCCCCCAGCUCCGCCUCCUUCUCAAAUGCCUCCACCGGCACCAAAUCCCCCACCAUGACCUGACCCUCCACCUAGACCUCAACCACCACCCCCGCCUCCACCUCCUCCUCUAGCUCCACCACCAAGACUACCACCGACACCUCCUCCAGCUCCAAAUUCUAGUACGGUGAAAUGAAGAGGAAGAGAAAGCAUAUGUGGUCUGCCGUUCUGGGCUUCAGGCAUUGCUUUUGCCUUAAGCGUGAGAAUUUGGCCUUUUGAAAAACGGCGUCGUUUUACCGAGAAAAACAAAAACAAAAAUAAUAGAUGAAACGGCGUCGUUUUAGAUCUCUUUCGGGGUUUCACCCGG